rnacentral:tRNA from 1 species
UUAAUUGAAGCCAAAUAGAGGCUUAUCACUGUUAAUGAUAUCAUUGAAAUUAUCUCCAAUUAAA